CGGCAGAUAGUAUCGACUUGGAAGUGGGUGGAAAACAAUAAAAGUCCACUUGGCAACCUCGGGAGCGUCGCUGCUGCACAGCCCCCCCCCCCCCCCCCCCCUCCUCUCCCCUCCCUCCCCGGUCCCCCCCGUCCCUCCCUCGGGCCGGGCUCGGUCGCUCCUCUCCUCGCUCCGACGUAAGGAGCCGGUCCCAAGUGUGUGUGUGUGAGCGGGAGGAGGGCAGACGGGGAAAGGGGAGCGGGGGGGGAGCGCCGGGCCCCAGCCUUUAAUUAGAAACGCGCUGAGGAGGCGCUGAAAUAUUCAUGGCCCUGGCGCGGCUCCCUCCGGGCGGGUCCCCGGCCCCGGUUUACCGGGAACCUGAGGCCCCGGCGGCGGCGGGGAAGGGGCGGUGUUGGGGCGGAGAAGGGAACGGGGGACGGCUGCUUUCGGCCGCCGCCGAGCGGGAAGGCGGCGGAGAGGUGGCCGCGGGAGGGUCCGGGCGGUGCGCGUCGCCUCUUCUUGGCAGGGGCAGCCCCCGGCGGCUUCCCGGGGCUACCGGCGCUGCCUGGAAGCGCUCCCCGGAGAGCCGGGUGGGCUGAGGAGGUGGAGGAGGAGGAGGGAGGAAGGCAGCUCCCGGUAGGAGCCGGAGCCGUCCCGCCGUGGCACCGCCGCUCCCUGCUCGCUCCUUCUCCCCCCCCCCCCCCGUUAAGCCCCUCGGAAGGGGGCUGCCGGUGAAACGCGAUCCGGCUGAACUCCUUCUAUUUGCUCUGAUUGUGUGUAUAAACCUCUCCCUUGGCAGCCGGGGGAGGAAAAUAAAGGCAAAUAUAAAGUUGGACGGCGCGGAGGGAGCGCUUUCCAAGACGGGGUCGGGGCGGGAGCGGGGCCGCCCUGAGGGACCGGGCGCUGAGGGGCUCGUAACGGCCGUAACGGCGGGGCGGGAGCCCGCCGCCGUGAGGGGGGAGCCCCCCGGCCGCCCCCGGCUCCCCCGCAGCGCCGUGUCCCGGCCGUGGCCGCCGUCCGCGGCGUGCUUAAGACACCCAGAGGCAAGACCGAGCAAGAGCGGCUUGGAAAGGAGUGCAGGAGCCUGCCUUCGGCUGGGCGCUGUGCUGCCUUGGCGCUCGGGAGAGCGGUUCGGCGCUUGGCAUUGGCACGGCGUGGCGUGGUUAUGUUUGCACGCCGAGUCAUGCCAAAUAUUGACUCUGGUUGUGUGCUGGGGUCACCUAAUGGAGGCAGGCGAGGUGGAAAGCUGGGCAGGUAGUGCGCAGGCUGGUGUUCUGCUGUUAUGUUUCAAGGAGUCCUUCGUCUCCUUCGUCGGGAAAAGGUUUUACAUGGAGUUCAGCCUGGAUAAUGAAAGCAUUCAUUUUCACCUUUUCCAGUUGGCAGUGUCAUCUGGGGAAGUCUUCAUACAUUUUUGUAAUGAUUUAGAGGAAAAAAAAUACCACAAGGAAAAAUCUUUUGUCUUAAAAAGUUAAUUUCCAAUUAAAAUAUUCAACUGAGAGAUUAUUUCUCUUGUAUGCAAAUUCUAUAUAUUUUUUUCUGGUAUGCCAAAGAAUUUGCCUCUGUAGUGAAAGGAAUGCAAGUGGACUUUUAUUGCUGUCGUCAGGUACUGAACAUAGAUAUGUUUACACCCAUCUUCUUAUACUUGUUCUGCAGUGCAGAUUUGGUGGAAAUACCACUUUGAUAGUUUCUGUUCUUUCAGCAGAUGCAGUCAGAUGUUUCUAAUAGGGGCUGUCAUAGAAUGAGAAUGUUCUGUGGUUAGUUUUGACCGAUGCAGAUAUGACCUUUGCAAUUAUUCCUUGUGAAGAAAAAAAAAAAAACAGGGAAAAUUUUAGAGAAAAAAAAAUAGUAUUGUCAUUUCAGAUGGAGAUAUUUGUUUCCUUUUCUUUGUUGGUUUCUAGUUGUUAGAGGAGCAAGAAGACAAUACUCAAAGGAAAAGGCUUUUGACAGUAAGGAAUUGUGAUUAGGCAUUAGAUGGAACUUCCAUUGCCUGGAAAAGUUUUCCAAAAAAAAAAAGUUUUCUGGAAAACAUUUCAAAACAUCUUUCCUUUGGUUUGAAGACAGCCUCAUAAAAAAAAAUAUAUUGAUGGUGGAAAGUAAAUAAUAAAAAUAAUAAGGAAAUCA
rnacentral:lncRNA from 1 species